UUGUGGUUUGGAGUACCAGUGGUGAUGCCCAAAGAUCAGAGCCACGCCAUUUACCUGAUGGAGCCAGACAUCAUGAGAGUUCAUAGACCAGAGUACAGGGGAUGGCUGUACCUGGACUCUGCGUAUGUGUGCUCAUUCAGGAAUGCAGACAUCCGCAUGUUUGGAGGAGUUUGUUUAGAGACAAGGUAUCAUGAAACCCCGGCUGGCUUUGCAUUACUGACCCUCUUUACUCCAUAUGCUGGGGCAGGGUUACAGGCUUGUACCACCGCACCCAGCUUUGGGAAGUACAUUUGUGAGUGAG